rnacentral:rRNA from 1 species
UACGGGGGGGCAAGCGUUGUUCGGAAUUACUGGGCGUAAAGGGCUCGUAGGUGGCCAACUAAGUCGGACGUGAAAUCCCUCAGCUUAACUGGGGAACUGCGUCCGAUACUGGAUGGCUUGAGUUUGGGAGAGGGAUGCGGAAUUCCAGGUGUAGCGGUGAAAUGCGUAGAUAAUCUGGAGGAACACCGGUGGCGAAGGCGGCAUCCUGGACCAACACUGACACUGAGGAGCGAAAGCCAGGGGAGCAAACGGG